rnacentral:lncRNA from 1 species
AUAAAUCAAAAAUAAAUUAAGAUAAAAUCAAGAAAUAAACAACAUAAAUCCUAAUCAAAUCUAAAAUUUUAAAAUGUAUUUUUUUAUGAGAAUUAAUCUGAGAAUGACACGUGUUAUUUUUUUUCCAAUUAGUGAAUAUUCUGCACCCUAGAAGAUUUUCUUUUCCUCAAUCCUUUUGCUUUUGAUUAAGAAGAUAAAAGCAGGAAUCCUUAAAGCAUAUGACAUCUUACAAUUAGUUGAAGAACAAAAUCAAUUCAUGAAGAAGAUUGAAACAGAAACCCAAAAUGAAGUCUUGAAGAACAAAAUACCCUCUUUCACCAAUUUGAAAGGACUGUGGUGAAAGAAUUGUAUUUAGUGUAUUUGUGAAUCUUGGGGUGGAGCCCUUGUGAAACAAAAAAUCAAAGGAACAUUUCAGUCAAGAGA